UCUUCAUUCCACGCACUCUCUCACCGGCGAGAGAGUGUGAGAAAUGAAGAGA
rnacentral:pre_miRNA from 1 species